AUUGAACGCUGGCGGCAGGCCUAACACAUGCAAGUCGAACGAGUGGCGGACGGGUGAGUAAUGUCUGGGAAACUGCCUGCUGGAGGGGGAUAACUACUGGAAACGGUAGCUAAUACCGCAUACCAUCGGAUGUGCCCAGAUGGGAUUAGCUAGUAGGUGGGGUAACGGCUCACCGAGGCGACGAUCCCUAGCUGGUCUGAGAGGAUGACCAGCCCCCCUGCAACUGAGACCUGUUCCAGACUCCUACGGGAGGCAACAGUGGGGAAUAUUGCACAAUGGGCGAAAGCCUGAGGCAGCCAUGCCGCUUGUGUGAAGAAGGCCUUCGGGUUGUAAAGCACUUUCAGCGGGGAGGCGUGACCCGCAGAAGAAGCACCGGCUAACUCCGUGCCAGCAGCCGCGGUAAUUC
rnacentral:rRNA from 1 species